UACGUAGGGUGCAAGCGUUGUCCGGAAUUAUUGGGCGUAAAGAGCUCGUAGGCGGUUUGUCGCGUCUGCUGUGAAAACCCGAGGCUCAACCUCGGGCCUGCAGUGGGUACGGGCAGGCUAGAGUGCGGUAGGGGAGACUGGAAUUCCUGGUGUAGCGGUGAAAUGCGCAGAUAUCAGGAGGAACACCGGUGGCGAAGGCGGGUCUCUGGGCCGUAACUGACGCUGAGGAGCGAAAGCAUGGGGAGCGAACAGG
rnacentral:rRNA from 1 species